GCUUACCUGAGUACUACGAAUAUCUUAAUUUAAAACUCAAGGGCUUGGCGGUGCCUUAAACUUUUUAGGGGAAUUGCCUCAUAAUCGAUAGUCGCGUUAGACCUUUCCUUCCUUUGUGAAAUUCAGUAUGUAUACCGUCGUCGUCAGGUAACUUUUAAAAUAUAAAAGUUAGCGAUUAAAAAGAAAAUCCUUAACGUCCAAACCAGGGGGCACUUAAGGGGUGGAGAGGAUGGGUACAAUUAAGAAUUAUAAUUACGAAAAUAAACUGGAACGGUUUUCUUGAAGGAGGACUUAAUAGUAAAAAAUUUAUGUAAAGUUUUUGAAUUAAGCUCUAAGGCGUGCACACAUCGCCCGUCACUCUCGA
rnacentral:rRNA from 1 species